AUUAAACGCUGGCGGCAUGCCUUACACAUGCAAGUCGAGCGGCAGCGCGGGGGCAACCCUGGCGGCGAGCGGCGAACGGGUGAGUAACAUAUCGGAACGUACCCCGUCGUGGGGGAUAACACAGCGAAAGCUGUGCUAAUACCGCAUACGACCUGAGGGUGAAAGCGGGGGAUCGCAAGACCUCGCGCGAUGGGAGCGGCCGAUAUCGGAUUAGCUUGUUGGUGAGGUAAAGGCUCACCAAGGCGACGAUCCGUAGCUGGUCUGAGAGGACGACCAGCCACACUGGAACUGAGACACGGUCCAGACUCCUACGGGAGGCAGCAGUGGGGAAUUUUGGACAAUGGGGGCAACCCUGAUCCAGCCAUUCCGCGUGAGUGAAGAAGGCCUCGGUUGUAAG
rnacentral:rRNA from 1 species